GACGUAGGGCGCAAGCGUUGUCCGGAUUUAUUGGGCGUAAAGAGCUCGUAGGCGGCUUGUUGCGUCGUCCGUGAAAACCCGCGGCUCAACCGCGGGCUUGCGGACGAUACGGGCAGGCUGGAGUUCGGUAGGGGAGACUGGAAUUCCUGGUGUAGCGGUGAAAUGCGCAGAUAUCAGGAGGAACACCGGUGGCGAAGGCGGGUCUCUGGGCAGUAACUGACGCUGAGGAGCGAAAGCGUGGGGAGCGAACAGG
rnacentral:rRNA from 1 species